GAUGAACGCUGGCGGCGUGCCUAAUACAUGCAAGUCGAGCGAACGGACGAGAAGCUUGCUUCUCUGAUGUUAGCGGCGGACGGGUGAGUAACACGUGGAUAACCUACCUAUAAGACUGGGAUAACUUCGGGAAACCGGAGCUAAUACCGGAUGAUAUUUUGAACCGCAUGGUUCAAAAGUGAAAGACGGUCUUGCUGUCACUUAUAGAUGGAUCCGCGCUGCAUUAGCUAGUUGGUAAGGUAAUGGCUUACCAAGGCAACGAUGCAUAGCCGACCUGAGAGGGUGAUCGGCCACACUGGAACUGAGACACGGUCCAGACUCCUACGGGAGGCAGCAGUAGGGAAUCUUCCGCAAUGGGCGAAAGCCUGACGGAGCAACGCCGCGUGAGUGAUGAAGGUCUUCGGAUCGUAAAACUCUGUUAUUAGGGAAGAACAUAUGUGUAAGUAACUGUGCACAUCUUGACGGUACCUAAUCAGAAAGCCACGGCUAACUACGUG
rnacentral:rRNA from 1 species